CUUUACUCUAUAGUUCUUGAAAUUCUGUGUGUUUUAUUUUUCCUGUUUUCAGAUUUUUCUCUGAACGCAAAGUGAAAGUUUUGAUCUUUUGUUUUGAUUUUUCUCUAUGAUUAGGCGCUUCUGUGCUUGUUUCAGAACUAUAUAGCGUUGUUGAAACUAAGUUCUACAUGUUCUUGUGAAAGUGGGGAUUUUUAACGUUUUGAAUACGUGAAGGUGAAACGAUUCUUUAAAUUUCUCUGUUCCAAUAAAAAAAAUCCGUUCUAAUGUUUAAUGUUUAUUUGCUUGUACGGUAGUUCAAGUACCAUGAGUAAGUUAUGCUAGCUUCUUUGCUACAAGGAAACUAAAGAAAUGAUUCCUUGCUUUAUAAAUAAUUUUAGUUUGGGCUCUUUUGUUUAGACCAGAAAUCCUCUGUACCAUUAAAAGCUUUUUCUAUCAUGGCUCCAUUUAUGUAUGUGGGAAUCAAAAUGAUGCAGUUCGAGGAAAAUAUGAGAAUCCCUUGAUAUUAUUUUAGUUUUGUUGGGUGGCUAGGUGGGUGGGUGGGUGGCUAGAAUUUGGCGGUGGCAUGUAAUUAAAUCUUCAUUUACCAUCUACCUUUCGAACAAGAGACCUGCUUCCCUGAAAUAUUUAUGCCAGGAAUUAUAUGGUUUUUCCAUGAUGACAUUAUUUUUCUAAGGUGGCGUUGAUUUCAUAUUUUUAUUUAUUCAUUUUCUGUGCUGCCUUCCUUAUCUUUUUUGUUCUUUUUCUUAUCAGUCGUUGAUUACAAGACACUUUUAUUACCUUUAUUACCUGAAAAACCUAAGGAAAUCUUGGCUUUUGUGUAGAAGAGUGACGUGAUCAUCCUCUCACAUAACUUGCAUGAUGAUUUUGUUUGCCUUCCAAAUCCAUGUCCAGCUGUUUUUUCUUGUCUCUUUCUGAGUCAUGCUUUCUCUAGAUCGAGUCUGUUGUCCCGAAUUAGCAAGUUGCCUGGAGAUAAUUUACUAAUACUGAUUAUCUGGUCUUAAUUCGAUUCAAUUUGAUUCCAUAUAUCAGUUGUUAAGAUUGAUUCUUAGUUAAGUUGCAGCUGGAUCUUGACACAGACGAUCCAAUAUAAUUACGGAUUGUGUACAGGUGUUUUUGACUUGAAUCUUGAUUAUGUUGUCUCAUCUGCGUCCGCGAAAAAUGGCUUAAGCAAAUUGGAUUUGGUCAUCUGAGUAUGGCUUGUUGCGGCUCUGCCAUCAUAUUUUUUCGGGUCUAGGAUUGUGGUUUGCUCCCAUACAAAAUGAAAUUUUCUCUAACUUUGAGUUUUGAAGAGUGCUCGUAAAGUCUAAACAUUGAUCUCGGGUUACCUCCCCCAAAAUGGUUUAAGCCAAUUGAGUUUGUCUCUCCCUGCUUAUAUUCUUGUAGUAGAUUUUCAGUGUAGAACUCCAACAAAACGGGCCAGACUACAAUAAAUUAACGACAAUGACUUGAUAAUUCAAAUCAAUUGCCCCAUAUGAUGGAUACAGCCUAUCUUCUAGAAAUAAGGAUUCUUUUCCAUUUAGUGCUGUAAUUCUUGACCACAAUAUUGAUAACUUUGGUCUUGAAGAAUUAAUUAGUGCAGAGUUAGAUGAAUGGUUGAUGAGGCACGUAAUCUCUGUGCUUGUGGUGGAUGUGCAAUUUGGUUAGUUAGAUUUUAUGUUGGCCUAAUGCUCACAACGAAUAUGCAGUGCCUCUUUCCACAAAUAGUGGAGAAAAGUAAAUUGCAAUCCUCUCAAGUAGGUAAAGGUAGAGCAAUUAGGAAACUCCAGCUACCUUAAUUAAAUCUUGUGAAUAUUUAGUACGUUUGAAAUUUUAUAGAUUGCAAACUCUGAUAAAUGCUAUGCAGCAAGGCUUCAGUAAGGCUGACAUCAAAAGAGGUUCAGAAAGAUUGCUAUGAUCAAUGCGUGAAAGGCAUGGAUUUUUUUAAUGUCCCAUAUAUAAAUUAUUAACUCUCUAGAAGAGGAACAAUAAUAUUCUAUCUAUUUGUGAUGCUUCUCUGAAACUUUCACAAUACUUAAUGCAUUUUAAAAUUGUUUGGAGAUAUAUUUGGGGGACCCAUUUAUCAAUUAAAAUAGCCAACUUGCCUUGUAUUGCCUGGUGACCCAUGUUUUUCUG
rnacentral:misc_RNA from 1 species